rnacentral:misc_RNA from 1 species
UUCUAUUCCAUUAAUGUUGGUGUAUACAUGCAAAAUAUUUUAUAAAGUCAUUCAUUUGUUCUAGUUUCUGUUAUUUGAACAUCAUUUGUAUUCUACCCUCUCAGACACAACUUUUGUUCUUUAUCAAAAUUUUCAAUGUUGAUAAAAUAGUGAACAAAAAAAGUAAAAUAUUGAGCACUCAUAACAUCACUGCUAAUUUCUUAAACUAUGUUAAUUAAAUAUAAGUUUUUAAAUAUUUAAAAAAAUUUUCAGUGUUGAUAAAAUAAUGAACAAAAAAAGUGAAAAAUCAAAUACUCACCACGUUCUCGCCAAUUUCUCACAAAGACAUAUUCUUAAUAUUCUACUUCCUUCUGAGCAAAAUUCUAAGCAAAAAAUUAAUGAAGCUUUCAUAUCAUCUUUAUCAACACUACACCAGGCAGCUCGUGAUGGGCAGUUAGAAAUUGUUCAACAGUAUUUAAAGUUGUAUGGUAAAGAUAAAAAGAAAGUAAAUUUUAAAGAUGAAGAUGAAACCACCGCUCUUCAUUAUGCCGUCCGUUAUAGUCAUUUUCCAAUUGUCAAAAUUCUUGUUGAAAGUGGUGCAAAUGUGAAUAUACCAGGUCAAUAUGGUGCUACUCCUUUGCACUAUGCAUCUCGAUUUGUAGAGAAAAAGUUAAAAACAAUUAGUAGCAACGAGCAUUUAAAGACACCUGAAACACUCCCAAAAUUUCAUUUAUGCACUGAUAACAAUAACACAACAGAAUUGGAAUGUCAUAAUGCUAAAGAUAAAAAACGUAAUUUAUUUAUUGAAAAUACAAAUGAAGCAAAUGGUUUGUUAUCAGAGGUCACAACAUCAAGAAGUCUAAAUGUUAGUGAAAAUUCGGUAAGAACGCCUUCUUUUGUCAACAUAAAAACAAGUAAAAAAAAACCUUUAAAAAAAGUCAAAGAUAAAAUAAAAGAAGAAUGCAUAUUAAAGUAUCUAUUAGAUCAACAAGCAAAUGUUAAUGCUAAAGAUAUAAAUGGUUCUACUCCUCUUCAUUAUGCUGCCAUGAGAGGUAAUGAAAUAGCGGUUGAGAUACUACUUACGCAAAAGAACAUUAACAUUGAGGCUAUUGACCAUUUAAAAAUGACACCUUUGCAUUGUGCAUCAGUUGCUGGAUCAUAUGAUGUUUGCCUACAGUUAUUGGAUCAUGGUGCGAAAAUUAUAUGUAAAGAUAAAGAAAAUAUGACCCCUCUUCAUUUUGCAGCUAUGGAAGGCCAUCUUGAUAUUGUUAAACUUCUAUUCAGUUAUGCUGAGUCCCGUGGCGGAGUUACAUUAAGUGCUAAAUUACUAUUUUCAUACAAUCGAGACAAACAAAGUGCUCUCCAUCUUGCAGUUGAAAACAAUCAUAUUGAUAUUGUCAAAUUUUGUAUUAAUAGAGGCUCAAAUGUUAAUUUAGCAAAAGUAAACUCAAUUUCUCCACUUCAUUUAGCUUGUAGUUCCGGAUUGUUGGAUAUUGCAAAGCUUCUUGUUGACAAUGGUGCUGUUAUUGAUUCAAAAAAUUCCUUUCAAGAAACACCCUUGCAUCGAGCUGCUUUAUUUAAUCACACAGAAAUUAUUGAGUUCUUAUUGAUUAAAGGAGUGUUUGUUGAUUGCCGUGAUAAAGACAAUGAAACACCCUUGCUCAUGGCUGUACGUAAAAAUUAUGUUGAAUCAGUAAAGUUGUUGCUUGAAUAUUCUGCAAACAUAUAUGCUAAAGAUUCAAAUGAUAAAACAUGUUUAUUUUUAGCUGCUCAAGAAAAUUCUAAAGAAGCAUUAGAAAUUUUAUGUAAAUUUGAUAUUUCUAAUCUGUUAGAAGAGUUUGAUAAAUAUGAAAUGACGCCUCUUCAUGCUGCAGCAAAAGAAGGGCAUGAUAUUAUUGUUCAGACACUUUUGGGCUUAGGUUCACGUAUCGAUGCAAAGUGUUAUGAAAAUCUAACCCCACUUCAUCUUGCUGCAAAGUAUGGUCACUCUAGAAUUGUUCAACUGUUGUUAUCAAAUGUUUUGAGUAUUGUUAAUGAUGUUGAUGAUUCUUCUAACACACCUCUUCAUCUUGCUGCAAUGGAAGGUCAUGUUAAAAUUGUUGAGAUGCUUAUUGAAGCUGGUUCUCCAUUAGAUACUCGGAAUGCAAACCAAAUGACUCCAUUAGAUUGUGCUGCCUAUCGUGGGUGGAACCAAUGUGCACAAUGUUUAUUAGAUGCUGAUUCUGCUGUGAAUCCUACUGAUCUUAAAAUAACACCAUUACAUCUGGCUAGCAGGGAAGGGCAUGUUGACAUAGUAAACUUACUUCUGUCAAGAAAUGCUGAUGUUACUCGAAGAGAUCACUUUGGAAAGAACUGUUUAGACUAUGCUAUAGAGAAUAAUCAACGAGAAGUUGCCAUGGCAAUUAUAGGGUGUAACAACUGGCAAAACGCUUUGCGAAACUCUACUGUUGAAGGAAAUAACUUAACAACUCCAAUGAGAAAACUGAUUCAAAAACUUCCUGACGUUGCUGAACAAGUUUUUAAUCAGUGUGUAUUAGAUAAUGGUCUUCCUUGUGAACAUCCUCAAUAUAAAAUUACAUACAAUUUUGAGUUUCUUGAAGAUAUGUUUGCCCCAUGGUGCACUAUUGCUUUAGAUGAUAGUGAAUAUUACCAACACCGAAAAUCACUCGACUUCUCCCAUAGGCGGUCACUUUUUUCUCUAAUUUCUAGUAUGAACACCAAAUUUCCAGUUGAUUGGAUGAAGACAAAAAAUUUCAAACAUAAUCACCCUUUAAAGUUCAUGGUUCAAAAUGAGCGUACAGGGUUAUUGUGUCAUCCUUUGGUAACAUGUUUACUAAAAUGCAAAUGGAGCAUAUGUGGUCGAUAUGCAUAUUAUUCCAGAUUGUUAUUGUACAUGAUCUUUCUUUUUUUUAUAACUGGCUAUGGUUUAUCUUUAAGAGCUAAUCUUCAGGUUUCCAACAAUUCUUAUUCCUGCUUACCUUUUAAUCCAAAUAAUAAUUUAUCAAACUUCUUUAUUGAUCCAGGCAGAUAUAUAGUCAUAGUGCUAAGUGCAAUCAGUCUGAGCAUUGAGUUUGCCAAGCUUAUUAUGAAUCCCUACAAUUACAUUCGUGUAUACCGAGCUGUUGAGCUAGGAGCGUAUAUUUGUUCAUUGGUUUAUGCUAAAGAAUCAUUUAGUGAUGAAAGUAGCAGUUUUAGGUGUUCGUUUACUCAAAAUCAACUAGGAGCAGCUAGUUUAACCUUAUCAUGGACCCUAGAUCGUAUACUACUCCUCCACACGUUUUUAUGAAAAUUUUGUUAGGAAUGUUGGGAGAGUAUGAAUAUGAUAAUAUUUACAACCGCCUCUAUAAUCCAAUUCCAACUGCGUGGGUUAUCUAUAUGUUUUUUGUAAUCAUCAAUUGUAUUUUACUAUUUAACUUAUUGGUUGGUUUAGCUGCUGAUGAUAUUGAAACAGUUCAAAAACAAGCCAUCCCAAAAAGAUUGGCAAUGUUGGUGGAUUUAACGUUGGAUGUAGAAAAAGCUCUACCCAUCUCAAUUCAAAAGCAUUUAGUCAAAUUGAAAGAGUCAGUUUAUCCUAAUGUAUAUAAAUCAAAAAGUCUUUGGUCUUUUUGGUCAUUUGAGUCUCCUUCCACUAAUAUAAAAUCUAAG